rnacentral:rRNA from 1 species
CCCUUAGAUGUUCUGGGCCGCACGCGCGCUACACUGAUACGUUCAACGAGUCCAAAACCUUGAUUGAUAGGUCUGGGUAAUCUUUUGAAGACGUAUCGUGCUAGGGAUAGAUUAUUGCAAUUAUUAAUCUUGAACGAGGAAUGCCUAGUAGGCGCAAGUCAUCAGCUUGCGUCGAUUACGUCCCUGCCCUUUGUACACACCGCCCGUCGCUCCUACCGAUUGGGUGUGCUGGUGAAAUGUUCGGAUCGGCCGUUUGUCGCGGUUUCCGCGGCUCGUGGCUGAGAAGUUCAUUAAACCCUCCCACCUAGAGGAAGGAGAAGUCGUAACA